GCCGGCCCAGCCAAAGCCGCCGGGUGGGCCGGCCGAAGAGAAGCGGCUGCCCGCCACUGGGCAAGCAGGCCGGCUGAAGAGAAGCGGUUGCCUCCGGGCGGGGCGUUGCUAAGGUUCUGCUAACAGGCUGGCUGGCGGUAAGUGGAAAGCGGCAGAGAAACGACGAUGAACGAACUGCCGUCAAAAUGAAGCCCAAAAUCGCCGGGAGAAAAUGACGGAGACGACGACACUGGCUAGGCUCUACACUGCUCCUGAAAUGCUAUAAAAUCACCUAGAAGCAUGUAGCCAUGGAUACUUCAAGCAAAACAAUCAGAAGACAUAGUAAGAAACAUCAGCAACACACUCAGAAUUGACCGUGUGCCCAUUUUUACCCAUCAGAAUUCUGUCACAAAGGUUCUGAACCUGAUGAGCCACCGAUUCAGCAGGCAAGUCUUGUUCCAGAAGAUUUAACUCACCAAAACCAUGUCUAGUAGGUAGGAAACCCACAAAUACACAGCCUUACACUAGGGGAUGGGAGGAGAAGAAGAAACGCAAACGCUGGCAAGUCCCAAAGUUAUGCAAUACUGGCUGAAACUACGAGUGGGGAAGAAGAAUGAGGGCUCAGAGCGCUUGCUGGAAGGCUAUUCUCCGCAGCAGCACCCUUAUCGCAGGAGGCAGUACCCCCUUACUGUAUGCACUAGCCUUACGGCCAACCACAAUAUUCCAAUGCUCCUGUGCAAACAGAGGUUUUUGAGGAUACGGACAAACAAGGUGAGCUAUGCCAUUUUCUACGUCCUGGAAAAAUGACACCAUCACUAUUGGGGCAGAGGUUCAAGCUAUGCACAGACAAGGAUUCACCUCUCUGAUCUCCCCACUACUCCUCAGGCUCCAGUAGGAGCUAUGACACACUCACUCCCACUCUCUCUGUGAGAUAUUUCUAUUCCUGCAGCUUUCUCUGUCUGCUAGUGGGGCUGCACUAACCUGAUGAGUAUAAUGUAUACCCAGGCUCAGAGUUUCACUGAUCACACCAGAACCUCCACAUAAACAUGCAUAUUGUUGAGCAGUUAGAACUGGCUGUGCUAAAUUCUUCCAUUUGGUUCACAACCCUAGCAAUUUAGGUGCCAAACUCCUACUGAAAUGAGUGUGGUUUAAACACUUGGUGAUAGAAAACCUUUAGUUUAAGUUGGGAGUUAAGAUGCUUACAGUUUUCACUCAUGCUUCAAGAAGCAUGGACAUUACAAGUUAAGCUGGUCACCUUAACUUCCAUGUCACAUAAGCAGGAAGGCAUUUUGUAUAUUAUACUGGCUUUACAAAUUAUGCUCCAUGUACUCAUGCUUUGCCUUAGUAUUUCAGUUCAAUAUUUUUUGCAUCUGCAAAAUUCAACAAAAGUAGCUUCCCCACUUACUACAGAUGCAAUUGAUUAAUUUCUGCCUGAUACAUUUCUAAAAGGCAUUGUGCUCCCCAAAAUGUCAUAAUAUAGCAAGUAUCCAAACUAAAAUUCUAAGUGCAGCAGCUCCUCCAGAAAAUAUUUCCUCUUUUGCCAUCAGACUGAUGGCAAUGCAAGAAUUUUCCUGGUGGAAGGAAGAAUACCUAGACUGCAGCUCUUUGUUGGUCUGUGCCAUGUAUUCCAUUACAUUCCCUUGCUUGCCAAUGCAGAAGAUAGUAAAUAUACCAACCCAUUCCAUCCCCAAAAUUAAGGCUACUUUUCGAGAGAACUUGGAAGUUUUUGUGAACCAUGUUUCCUACACUAAUAGGCUUAAUUCUAUGAAAACUGAACUUAUACAACCACUUUGGAAACUGCAUAGUUGAAGGGAGGGUGGGGAGAACCUUUGCUCCAUGUGCCAAAAUUGAGAGGCUAAAUUGCUGGAAUGCUCUCCCAGUGAAUUUUCGCUCUUUGACAUCCAUGGCUGCUUUUAAAAUACUAAAGACCUUUUUGUUUGUUCAGGCUUUUAAACCCUUAUGGAUUGCCAGGCCUCUCAGCAAUCUUGCUUCUGUUGACUUUUUAAUGGUUGUUUUUUGGUGUUAUGGUUUUUACUGUUUAACUGAUUUUAAGGUUUUACAUGCUUUUAUGGAAUUUUUUUGGUAUUUUAACUUUUUAAAACCACCUUGUGAUGCUUUAGAAAAGGUGGUAUAAAACAGAAAGUUAAAAAUAAAUAAGAUAGCAUUUAAUUGAAAAUCACUCUCUCACACACAGACAUUAAUUAUACUAGUCAAACCCUGUUUGGGCACUGUGGCAAGCAAUACUUACUUCCCUGCGCUUUUGACCUACAUAUUUUACUUGUCUGGCAACAACAAUCCUCUCUACCACUACUACUACAGCAAAGAUGUGAUAGGGCUUGAGUAGGACCAUAGGAUUAAUGCCACCACCCUGCACUUGCAUCUGUUCUAAUGAUUUCACAAAAAAAUAUCCUGCCUUUUAGGUGCAAAAGCCUCACAAGGCUGAAGUGGUACCACCACUAUUAAAAUUGAACACAUAAUGAAUACACAGUUAUAAAUCCAUCCAAGUCAUACCAGCAGUUGUUGAAAUCCCUAAGUAGCAACAUUAAAAAUGAAGAACAAAAGGUUCAGAGAAAGCCUCAUCACAGAACAGGAGGAUUUUCAAUACCUUUUUAAAGGUUGCCAGGGAGAGAGCGGGCAGAUCAACUCAGGAGGACAUUCCAGAACUGCAGCACCAUCACAUAAAAUCUUUGGAAAUCUUAAUGGAGGCAGCAGGGGGCUGGCCUGGGCCGGCCACAGCGAGGAGGCGGUGGCAGCCCCGGCCGCGGUGAGAGGAGGCAGCCCCACUGCCAGUAAGUGGAAGAGGGCAGAUGAGAAGGUGCGGGGGAAGAAAGAACCGCCAGCCACAAAGAGCGCACAGAUGCUCUGUGCAGGUUUGGCUAGUUGUAUAUAUUUUUUAAACAUUUAAUUAGAUUUGUAUUUUUAUAUUCCAGUUUAAUAUAUUUAUUGUGUAACUGUUUUGUUGUUUUAUAUUGUGCUUUAUAAACUGCCUUGAGAUUGUUUUAAUGAAAGGCGA